AGCCCCAGGGUGUCUUCUUGAGGGAAAACAAAUAUAAGACCCUGUCUUAUUUUGGGGGAAACACGGCAAUAAGUUUCAAAAAACGGGUUUUAAACUCAAUUCUCUGGCAGCUCCGCCUUUCCCUGCCUCGGACUGGGAUGUUAUUUCAUUAAUUUCUUUACCCAUCGCCGUGAUCAGCAAAUACCCAUCUCCUGCAGUUUCAGGCGUGAGCAAAAUGUUAGGAGCACCGAGGCAACAACCGGUGUUUGUCCCUGAGGAGUUCCCGGUCGGAUGGGGGCCUCGGGCGGGCCGUUGAGAACGUCAACUCAAUAUGCCAAGGCGCGAGACGAUAUUUUUAGAAUAAGAUUGUAAUUCUGUACUCGUCCGUGGAGCGCUCGUACGAUCCCCGUGCUGUGAGGAACGCCAGAGUUGUAAAGGAGAAGGAUGUCAGGCUGGUGGCGGUCCCCCCGCCCCUCUCUAGAGUAAAAAGAGAACAGGCUCCCUGACCAGACCCCCCACAAACGACCGCCAGGCACCACCAGCCCCUCCCGUUUCUCAGGAACAGACAAAGACCACAGUGGGGAAAAAAAAAAAAAAACCCAGCCCUUCCUGCCAAAAGUCCCUAACCCUCCUCAACAGUAUAAAAGCUCACACCCCAUACAAGCGGCUGUGACUUCUGAGGCCCCAUUCUCCUGAGACCCCUGAACCUCACCCGGGAGCGCUCAACGACGCCACGUUGUUUGGCCCCACUCUCUCUCCCUCUCUCUGCCUGUUUCUUUCACCGCCGGAAAACCUUACAAAGGAGGCGUAGACCCCCCUGCUGGUGCCGCAGUCAGCCUGGUCAGGGACACGGAGGAGCGUUCCACCUCACCCUGCAAACUCAGGUGUGCGGGGAAGCACACCUGUGAGUCCACGACUCAGCUCAGUUCUGUCUCAGCUCACGUCACGCAAGAACGGAGGGACUGUGGCUCCCGUCAAGGGUGGCGAAGCUUCUUGCGCUUGCGUAGGUGCUGGGGGUGGAGGAGGCUCCCGACCCUGGACCCACCCAGGUAACAGAAAAAGCGUCUUUCCUUCCUGCCCACCUGGCCCCCCUUCCACGCUGCCUCCGUGUCACCUGUGGGGGGCUGGAAGCCUUCCUUCUUCUCUCCCUGGGCCACAGGUGGGAGGAGAGGUGGGUUCUGAGCCCACCUGAAUACCUAUGGAAGGUGGUUCAUAGCUGCCUCCUUCACCCUUGACUCGCGGACCAAGGCUGUGCCCCCCAGAAAGGUGCCCGUCCCUUGGCCUGGGCUUUGACGUCGCCUGGCUGUCGUUUUCUCACGGGCUACCUGCUGUUUCUACCUUAUUGAUAGCAAAUCCCAGGACACAGCUCCCAGGUAAGUAGAAAAGGAAGUGGCACAUGGCAUCCCAGGUACAAUUCCUGAAAGUCCCAGAACCCUCAGGAACAGCAGUUUCAAAUGCUCACAGUCCUCACCAUCAGAGAGACAAACCCAGGACCGAAGUCUCACUAGAAUUCCGGCAGGUAGAACCCAUCCGGCACCUGGGGCCUGCACUGGGGUCCGUGAUGCCCGUUUCCCUCCUGCUGUCACCAGGGAAGGGCACCUGGUUGUUCCACAAGGAGACAGAAAGUCAGACCAAGGGUGAUCCGCCCACCCUGCCUGCUUGACAAUCCCUCUCUCUGAGCGUUCCUUGCCUUGGUAAGGAGCAGCAAAGCAGAGUAGGGCUGGGAAAUGGGUUCUACAAAAAAACAAACAAAAAAAACCUUGCAAAAUAGAAGAUGGGGAACAGCACCUGGUAGACGAAGAGGGAGAAGGUCCUUCUGGAAAUGAUCUGCUGUAAGAUCUGGAAAAGCAGUUGCAAGAAGGUCUCUGGCAAACGCAGCACGAGGUAGAACUGCGGUGCGGGCAGGUCCCGAGGCCCAGGCAAACCUCAGCAAUCCGGGAAGGCUGGGGCAGAAUGUUCUGGGCUCCGGCUCCAUGUUUUGGGCAGCACCACUGCCCCGGGCCUCCCGUGACCCUGCUGAACUAUUCGAAGUUUCUCCUGAAGGCCUCGCUCCUGCCCUAUCUCUGGGGCUGUCCGUGCACAGCCCCGACCUCACCGUGACACCUGCCCGGCCCAGCUGUGAAGGAACAGGUAGGUACCCCUACUCCGCAGGGGCCAACGGGGCUCCUGGGGCUUCCUUCCCUCUGUCUGCAGCCCACCACUUACGAGACAUCACUGCACGACAAUCGUUUUGUUUCUUAAUUUGUAACCCCUGGCAGAGUCCGUUCUUAUUGCUAGCACAGAAUGAACCACUUCUAUGUUGUGCGACCACCACUUAGUGGCCAAUCUGUGUGGGCGAGCAAACACCUGUGGUGUCUCAGGUGUGCUCACGCCGACCCCCGUCUGCCCUACCUGGGACGGAGGCGUAAGCACCUGGCUCAGGUUCUCAGAGGCAGGGCACGGGGCUGGCUUUCCAACCCAUGUUCUUUGGACAGCAAGUCCCGCGUUCUUUGCCAUGAAGCUACAACCCUUUUUCCCAGAAACCGCAGAGGGGACAGGUGUGUGGAGGCCAAUGGGCACAGGGCCAGCCGGUCUCGUCCCCUCAUUGGGGUGAAGGUGGCGGUGCGCACAGAGGAGCUGGGGACCUGGAAUGAGGACCCUUCCUCCUGCUCCCCAAGCCCUGGCCUCGGUGGGUCCAGGAGGUGGCUGGUCCAGGGAGCACACCGGCGUCUCCGUGGCUGGUUCCGUGGCUCAGCUGGGGCUCUGAGGGGAAGUCUAGGAGCUCCCGGGCCUGGACUCAGUGCCGCUACCUGUCCCACUCGCCCCACGAGCAGUCGCUGCAUCAUACCCACCUCACCUGGAGACCGGUGCCUGCUGCCGGAUGCAGAGACAGGCAGGUGCGCGAAGAAGAAAGACGUGUUUGGAUGGAGAGAAGGCAUGGCUCGUGUAGCCCCAAAACAAUUGCAAUCGUUACAUCAAAAAGAUUGCAUGGAUGCGGAGAGAGAGGAACACUCCUACACUGCUGGUGGGACUGC